GACCGCUCCUGUAGAUUAGUAGUUAGAGCAUCCGCUUCUGAUGCGGGAGUUCGCGGGUUCGAACCCCGGCUCAGUCA